UACGUAGGGGGGCAAGCGUUGUCCGGAAUCAUUGGGCGUAAAGCGCGUGUAGGCGGGUCGUUAAGUGUCCGCGUGAAAUCCCACGGCUCAACCGUGGAACUGCUGGGCAUACUGGACAUCUUGAGGCACUCAGGGGCGAGCGGAACAAGUGGUGGAGCGGUGAAAUGCGUAGAUAUCACUUGGAACGCCAAUGGUGAAGACAGCUCGCUGGGGGGUGUCCUGACGCUGAGGCGCGAAAGCCAGGGGAGCGAACGGG
rnacentral:rRNA from 1 species